rnacentral:rRNA from 1 species
CCUACGGGGGGCAGCAGUGGGGAAUAUUGGACAAUGGGGGGAACCCUGAUCCAGCCAUGCCGCGUGUGUGAAGAAGGCCCUCGGGUUGUAAAGCACUUUCAGUGAGGAAGAACGCCUGGUGGUUAAUACCCAUCAGGAAAGACAUCACUCACAGAAGAAGCACCGGCUAACUCCGUGCCAGCAGCCGCGGUAAUACGGAGGGUGCGAGCGUUAAUCGGAAUUACUGGGCGUAAAGCGCGCGUAGGUGGCUUGAUAAGCCGGUUGUGAAAGCCCCGGGCUCAACCUGGGAACGGCAUCCAGAACUGUCAAGCUAGAGUGCAGGAGAGGAAGGUAGAAUUCCCGGUGUAGCGGUGAAAUGCGUAGAGAUCGGGAGGAAUACCAGUGGCGAAGGCGGCCUUCUGGACUGACACUGACACUGAGGUGCGAAAGCGUGGGUAGCAAACAGGAUUAGAUACCCGUGUAGUC